UCUUCCCUCUUUCUUCGUGCCUAAUGCAUGCAAGUCGAGCGAACGGACGAGAAGCUUGCUUCUCUGAUGUUAGCGGCGGACGGGUGAGUAACACGUGGAUAACCUACCUAUAAGACUGGGAUAACUUCGGGAAACCGGAGCUAAUACCGGAUAAUAUUUUGAACCGCAUGGUUCAAAAGUGAAAGACGGUCUUGCUGUCACUUAUAGAUGGAUCCGCGCUGCAUUAGCUAGUUGGUAAGGUAACGGCUUACCCAGGCAACGAUGCAUAGCCGACCUGAGAGGGUGAUCGGCCACACUGGAACUGAGACACGGUCCAGACUCCUACGGGAGGCAGCAGUAGGGAAUCUUCCGCAAUGGGCGAAAGCCUGACGGAGCAACGCCGCGUGAGUGAUGAAGGUCUUCGGAUCGUAAAACUCUGUUAUUAGGGAAGAACAUAUGUGUAAGUAACUGUGCACAUCUUGACGGUACCUAAUCAGAAAGCCACGGCUAACUACGUG
rnacentral:rRNA from 1 species